rnacentral:rRNA from 1 species
CGGUUAUUGCCCUAGUACGGCGAGUGAGCGGCACAGCUCAAAUUUGAAAUCUGGCUCUUUUAGAGUCCGAGUUGUAAUUUGCAGAGGGCGCUUUGGCUUUGGCAGCGGUCCAAGUUCCUUGGAACAGGACGUCACAGAGGGUGAGAAUCCCGUACGUGGUCGCUGGCUAUUGCCGUGUAAAGCCCCUUCGACGAGUCGAGUUGUUUGGGAAUGCAGCUCUAAAUGGGAGGUACAUUUCUUCUAAAGCUAAAUAUUGGCCAGAGACCGAUAGCGCACAAGUAGAGUGAUCGAAAGAUGAAAAGCACUUUGGAAAGAGAGUCAAACAGCACGUGAAAUUGUUGAAAGGGAAGCGCUUGCAGCCAGACUUGCUUGCAGUUGCUCAUCCGGGCUUUUGCCCGGUGCACUCUUCUGCAGGCAGGCCAGCAUCAGUUUGGGCGGUAGGAUAAAGGUCUCUGUCACGUACCUCUCUUCGGGGAGGCCUUAUAGGGGAGACGACAUACUACCAGCCUGGACUGAGGUCCGCGCAUCUGCUAGGAUGCUGGCGUAAUGGCUGUAAGCGGCCCGUCUUGAAA